rnacentral:lncRNA from 1 species
CUUGAAUCCAAUUCAAAAAUUCAUCCAUGAAAUCACCCUCCCUAGCUCUUUUUCUCCGCCACUCUUUCAAAUAAUUAGAGGCCAUAUUCAAUUUGGCUGGAAAGAAAACACAUGGAAAAAAGAAAGUAGAAAAAUAAUAAUAUAAAUAACAGUGUGAACUUGUAGAUCAACCAUUAUAAAAUUGUUUUGUUUUUUUAGAACAAUUGGCAACUUGUGAAACAGGACAUAAUGCAUAAUGAAUAUCUUUUACUCUUGGUAAAAAAUAUGUCGAUACCAGUACUUUUAGAUUUUUACUAUUAGCAUUUCCUAUAGCACUGCUAAUGCACUAACAAAUUACUAUUGGAAUAAUUCAACUAAUGCGUCCCAUUUCUACCACACAUAGUGAAAAUACAAUCUAUGACAAUUACAGUUAAACACAAAUUUAAUUAUAUGAAAAAAUACCACUGGAUAAACAAAAACAACAGUACUGGCAUCAAAAUAGGCUUCAUUUUCUAAUUGAAUUGGAUAGCCUAACUAGCAGCUUUUAAACUUGGCUCCAACAGAGAGAGCAGGCCCUUAUUUACUUUCAUGACAACACACGUUAGCAUGGACUAUUUAAUGCUGGCUAAACUAGCCACAAGCUAGCCCUCGUAGUAGCAACCAGGCUACAUGCGAACUCGAGUUUAACAUUUGCUGUAAAUGCAUUUCACCGUCACGCAUCAUGAUGCACGACGGUGGGAGGACCAAAGCUUGCAAAAAUAAACAUUUUCUAUAAUAUCUCCUUCAGCCCCCACCUCUUUUCUGCAGAAUGUAUAACUCUCAAACUCAGUGACUCCUGGAACUUCUGGUGUACUCCGACGGUCGUGAGGUCGAGUGUGUACAAAGCGCAAUGCUUCAGCCGGAUGUUGUGCGGUCCACAAUUUGAAGCCGUUUUCAUGUUUUGGUCCGAUUAUGGUCCGAUCUCCAAACGGGUGUUAAGAUGGGCUCUUGCAGAGCUACCAAAUACUUUUUGUCGCUCAUCUCGUAGUAUUGCGGCUAUGCCGAUAACUUUUAUCAGGGACUACUUUGCUCUUGGCGGAAUUAGAAUCUACCAGAAGUGGUUGCACGGUGGAUCACGUGAGCGUGCUCCACCAACAAGGUGGCUGGAUUAUUGUCACGGUGGCAGCCGGUGUUACCGAGACGGAUAAAACACAUGAAAUCUAAGAAUUAAAUUGAAUUUCAGCGACCAACUUUGUUGUCGAGUACUCAGCAGGACCCAAGCUUUAAGAUCCGAAGUUGUUUUUUAUUUUAUUUUUCUGCCGUAUAUGCGUUUCGACCGGACAUGGCGAAAAGACUGGUUACGCUCAGGAGUAUGAUAGUCCCAUAGAUUGAGAUCAGUUCUGCAACGUUCAGUUAUCAUUUUCAAUAAUCAACUCUUGAAGUGCAGAUUAAAAUCGAUUGUCUAGAUUCGGUCUAUAUGUAGACGUUGAAAUGACGUAUAAAUUUAUACGUCUAAAUCACGUCUAGAAAUAGACUGAAUCUAGACGUUGAAAUGAAGUAUAAAUGUAUACGUGUAAAUGACGUCUACAUCUAUACUAUGCUGCAUAUCUCUCCACGGUAUCAUAAGUAAUGUAAUCCAGUAUUUAGAGGUCAGUUAUGCACAUUACAGUUGUUUAUUGCAUAAAUAGUUAUCGAAAAAUGAAGUUGAGGGCGAAGUAUAAAUCACGUCUAGAAAUAGACUGAAUCUAGACGUUGAAAUGAAGUAUAAAUUUAUACGUGUAAAUGACGUCUACAUCUAUACUAUGCUGCAUAUCUCUCCACGUAUCAUAAGUAAUGUAAUCCAGUAUUUAGAGGUCAGUUAUGCACAUUACAGGUGUUGAUUGCAUAAAAAGUUAUCGAAAAAUGAAGUUGAGGGCGAAGUAUAAAUCACGUCUAGAAAUAGACUGAAUCUAGACGUUGAAAUGAAGUAUAAAUUUAUACGGCUAAAUCACGUCUAGAAAUAGACUGAAUCUAGACGUUGAAAUGAAGUAUAAAUUUAUACGUCUAAAUCACGUCUAGAAAUAGACUGAAUCUAGACGUUGAAAUGAAGUAUAAAUUUAUACGUGUAAAUGACGUCUACAUCUAUCCUAUGCUGCAUAUCUCUCCACGGUAUCAUAAGUAAUGUAAUCCAGUAUUUAGAGGUCAUUUAUGCACAUUACAGUUGUUUAUUGCAUAAAAAGUUAUCGAAAAAUGAAGUUGAGGGCGAAGUAUAAAUCACGUCUAGAAAUAGACUGAAUCUAGACGUUGAAAUGAAGUAUAAAUUUAUACGUCUAAAUCACGUCUAGAAAUAGACUGAAUCUAGACGUUGAAAUGAAGUAUAAAUUUAUACGUCUAAAUCACGUCUACAUCUAUACUAUGCUGCAUAUCUCUCCACGAUAUCAUAAGUAAUGUAAUUCAGUAUUUAGAGGUCAGUUAUGCACAUUACAGUUGUGUAUUGCAAAAAUAGUUAUCGAAAAAUGAAGUUGAGGGCGAAGUAUAAAUCACGUCUAGAAAUAGACUGAAUCUAGACGUUGAAAUGAAGUAAAAAUUUAUACGUCUAAAUCACGUCUAGAAAUAGACUGAAUCUAGACGUUGAAAUGACGUAUACAUUUAUACGUCUAAAUCACGUCUAGAAAUAGACUGAAUCUAGACGUUGAAAUGAAGUAUAAAUUUAUACGUCUAAAUCACGUC